rnacentral:rRNA from 1 species
GACGAACGCUGGCGGCGUGCCUAAUACAUGCAAGUAGAACGCUGAAGGAGGAGCUUGCUCUUCUGGAUGAGUUGCGAACGGGUGAGUAACGCGUAGGUAACCUGCCUGGUAGCGGGGGAUAACUAUUGGAAACGAUAGCUAAUACCGCAUAACAUUGACUAUUGCAUGAUAGUCAAUUGAAAGGUGCAAUUGCACCACUACCAGAUGGACCUGCGUUGUAUUAGCUAGUUGGUGGGGUAACGGCUCACCAAGGCGACGAUACAUAGCCGACCUGAGAGGGUGAUCGGCCACACUGGGACUGAGACACGGCCCAGACUCCUACGGGAGGCAGCAGUAGGGAAUCUUCGGCAAUGGGGGGAACCCUGACCGAGCAACGCCGCGUGAGUGAAGAAGGUUUUCGGAUCGUAAAGCUCUGUUGUAAGAGAAGAACGAGUGUGAGAGUGGAAAGUUCACACUGUGACGGUAUCUACCAGAAA